rnacentral:rRNA from 1 species
UACGGGGGGGGGCAAGCGUUGUUCGGAAUUACUGGGCGUAAAGCGUGCGCAGGCGGUUUUGUAAGUCUGACGUGAAAUCCCCGGGCUCAACCUGGGAAUUGCGUUGGAGACUGCAAGGCUGGAGUCUGGCAGAGGGGGGUAGAAUUCCACGUGUGAGCAGUGAAAUGCGUAGAGAUGUGGAGGAAUACCGGUGGCGAAGGCGGCAUCCUGGACCGACAUUGACGCUGAACG